AGAGUCAUAUUAAAGCAGAAUGUGCGGAAAGGAUAACGUUGAGCGCAGUUAUUAACGACCCGAAGCAAGCAACGAUAUACGAAAAAGCCAUAAUUAAAACUAAAGUAUUAGAUACAAUGCUAUACCUUAUGAAAUAUGAAGAUUACAACGACUUAAUAUUCAAAAAUGAUGACACCUAUAGACUAAAUAUCAAUAUGGCACAAUGCAUGUGGCAAUUAAGCCAUUAUUACGCUGCUUUAGGAGAGGUUAUUGCAAAGGCCGGUGGUAUUUCAUAUUUUACAGACAUUUGUAGAUUUAAACCCUUUCUGGACAAUUUGGAAA